CCAAAGGAGAGUUAACCUUUGACUCUCCCUCAUGUGGGCUCUAACCAGCGCCUUGGACUUUCAAACUAGUGGGCCUUGUCCUAUCUCUUUUAGCACCUCCUUUCCUUUAGCUCAAUGCACCUUAACUAGUUCUACACCCCUCCUAUUUUAUUUUUAUUUUUGUUUCCAUUCUCUUUUAUUUAAUUUUAUUACUUUAUUAGUUUAAGU
rnacentral:lncRNA from 1 species